ensembl:snRNA
GUGUUGUAUGAAAGGAGAGAAGGUUAGCACUCCCCUUGACAAGGAUGGAAGAGGCCCUCGGGCCUGACAACACGCAUACAGUUAAGGCAUUGCCACGUGGCAUCUAACCAUCGUUUUUA